rnacentral:rRNA from 1 species
CAGUCGCCGCGGUAAUACGAAGGGUGCAAGCGUUGUUCGGAAUUAUUGGGCGUAAAGGGUGCGUAGGCGGCUUGACAAGUCUUGUGUGAAAUCUAUGGGCUCAACCCAUAGUCUGCACGGGAAACUGUCGGGCUUGAGAAUGGGAGAGGUGAGUGGAAUUUCCGGUGUAGCGGUGAAAUGCGUAGAUAUCGGAAGGAACACCUGUGGCGAAAGCGGCUCACUGGACCAUUUCUGACGCUGAUGCACGAAAGCUAGGGGAGCAAACAGGAUUAGAGACCCCCGUAGUCCCUGUCUCUUAUAA